rnacentral:rRNA from 1 species
UACGUAGGGUGCAAGCGUUGUCCGGAAUUAUUGGGCGUAAAGAGCUCGUAGGCGGUCUGUCGCGUCGGCUGUGAAAACCCGGAGCUCAACUCCGGGCCUGCAGUCGAUACGGGCAAACUGGAGUACUGCAGGGGAGACUGGAAUUCCUGGUGUAGCGGUGAAAUGCGCAGAUAUCAGGAGGAACACCGGUGGCGAAGGCGGGUCUCUGGGCAGUA